rnacentral:rRNA from 1 species
UACGAAGGUGGCAAGCGUUGUUCGGAUUCACUGGGCGUACAGGGUGUGUAGGCGGUUUGGUAAGCCUUCUGUUAAAGCUUCGGGCCCAACCCGGAAAGCGCAGGGGGUACUGCCAGGCUAGAGGGCGGGAGAGGAGCGCGGAAUUCCAAGUGUAGCGGUGAAAUGCGUAGAGAUUUGGAGGAACACCAGUGGCGAAGGCGACUUUCUGGUCUGUAACUGACGCUGAGAUGCGAAAGCGUGGGGAGCAAACGGG